CACGUAGGGGGCGAGCGUUGUCCGGAUUCAUUGGGCGUAAAGGGCGCGCAGGCGGCCCGGCAAGUCGGAUGUGAAAACUCGAGGCUCAACCUCGAGCGUGCACCCGAUACUGCCGGGCUUGAGGCAGGUAGGGGAGAUCGGAAUUCCUGGUGUAGCGGUGAAAUGCGCGGAUAUCAGGAGGAACACCGGUGGCGAAGGCGGAUCUCUGGGCCUGUCCUGACGCUGAGGCGCGAAAGCUAGGGGAGCGAACAGG
rnacentral:rRNA from 1 species